UGGGAAAAGUUUUAAGGGGAGAAUGGUAUAGAGGAGAACAAAUUUUAAAGCUUGGCUACUUGGGAAUUUGUUAUUCGCAAAACAAACAUGCCUUAACUCGUUUAAUCUAUUUAAUUCAUCAAAUUGACUUAUUUUACAAGGGGAAGUGUUUGGGGGCUUCGGUUGUAUCUUUAUGAUACUAUUCCUAUUCCCGUGUGUCAAAACACUGAUGAAUCCCGUCAAAAAUUUUCCCUCUGUGAUUCACCUCCCAACUUUGUUUUUAUGUAAUCAAAACAAUCAGAAUGUGGCUGAACCUGACCAUUCUUAUAGUGCAGUCGAACGAAUCUGAGUGAGACUUCUGUUUCACUCUGAGUAAUUAAAGAAGAAAGACUUCCAUGGUCUGCAGAAAAUAAUAGAAAAAGAAAAAACCCUAACCCAAACCCAUUUUCUAUUCUUCUUCCUUUCAAUUUUUUUUUAAUUUUUUUUUAAUUAAAAGCAGGAUUUAAUAAUCCAUGGCGGCGAUCCCGAUGCUUUCUCCUGCUAACCGAACCAGCUUCGCUUCACCUCCAAGGAGACUGUUUUCGUGUGGUUUCGUCGGAGAAUCAAACUUCUUUGGCUCCAAAUUUCCCCAGAGAAUUCUCUCCUUUUCCACUAAGAAAAUCAGAGCAGAACGAUCUGGACCCGCUCAUGGUUCAGCUAUGGACCCGACUCGUGCGUCUCAUUCGUUCGAUGUGGUGAUAAUUGGAGCCGGAAUAAUCGGGUUGAGCAUUGCCCGGCAGUUCCUGCUGCACUCGGACCUCUCUGUCGCCGUGGUUGAUAAGGACGUCCCCUGCUCCGGCUCUACCGGUGCAGGGCAGGGCUACUUAUGGAUGGUACAUAAAACACCUGGGAGUGAUAUAUGGGAGCUGUCAAUAAGAAGCCACAAACUGUGGGAGCUAUUGGCUGAGAGCAUACAGGAGCAAGGCAUGAAUCCUUUGGAAGUAUUGGGCUGGAAGAAGACAGGAAGUUUGUUAAUUGGGAGAACCCUUAAAGAGUCUGACAUGUUAAAAAGAAGGGUGAAUCUACUUGUUGAAGCUGGUUUGAGUGCAGAAUAUUUGUGUAGCAGCGAUCUGCUAUUAAAGGAACCGGCAGUUAUGGUUGAGAAAGAAGGUGGGGCCGCUUUUCUUCCUGAUGACUGCCAAUUGGAUGCUCGCCAUACUGUUGCAUUUAUUAGAAAGGCUAAUGAGGUUUUUGCAUCGGAAGGCAGAUAUGCAGAGUUCUUUAAUGAUCCAGCUACUUUGUUAUUAAGAUCUGGUAAUACUGGGGAGAUUGAAGCUGUUCAAACUUCCAAGAAUAUCUUGUACCGUAAGAAGGCCAUUAUUGUGGCAGCUGGCUGCUGGAGUGGGUCUUUAAUACAUGAUUUACUUAGAAAUUCAGACGUUGUGUUGGAUGUCCCUGUAAAGCCCCGGAAGGGUCACCUGCUUGUGCUAGAGAAUUUCAAUUUCCUCCAACUGAAACAUGGUCUGAUGGAGGUGGGAUAUGCUAACCAUGAAGUUACAGCUCAGCAUACCACCAGUUCAGCAUCAGGAGAUCAAGGGCAAGCCUUGUCUAUUUCAAUGACAGCCACCAUGGACACAGUGGGAAACCUUGUUCUGGGGAGCAGCCGCCAGUUUUCUGGAUUUGAUACAAAUGUAGAUGAGUACAUACUUGAUCAUAUAUGGGAACGGGCUAGGGUGUUCUUCCCCUCUUUAAAAGAGCUGCCUCUGAAUGAUUUCACUAGAAGCAGAGAAGUGAGAGUAGGAUUACGCCCUUACAUGCCUGAUGGCAAACCAUUGAUUGGACCUGUUCCUGGCUUCUCAAAUCUAUUCCUUGCUACUGGACAUGAAGGAGGGGGACUUUCAAUGGCUUUGGGAACUGCUGAAAUGGUUGUUGAUAUGGUGUUAGGCAAUCCGGGGAAAGUUGAUUAUGCUCCUUUUGCUGUUCAAGGUCGAUGUGUUUGAUUAAAUUUAGGUCAGCCAAGACAAAUAAUGCAGGUGCAUACUCUAUGAUCAUUUCAUGGAUGCAAAUGCAUCUUGUACCAGCAGCUUGAACACACACUCUCAAAUUGAUUCUCACGAAACUUCUCAAAUCUUUGUCGGACCUCUUCGUUGUCUGUCCACUCUGGUGAUGGCUUCUGACCUAUAUACACUUCGUCUGAUGCGUGCUGAGAGAGUACCUCUAUCAAUGCUACACCAAUGGUCAUCUCAAAUCUUGCAGGCAGCAUUUUAAGAUAGUAUCCGUCUGGAUCUUUAAGGAAAGCAGCAAAUUCAUGUGUUCCUUCAUUUGGAAUGAAUUGUCGACAUAGUGUGGGACGAUUUGGUGGGUAACCAGCAUAUGCAUAUUGGCCAAAGUUGACUGAAGCGUGAAGAGCUGAAGCAAUCCAUAUCAGAGUGGUCAGAGCCUCUAUUAGGUCCAUUAAAGUUGUCAGUGGAUACCACCAUCUCUCAUUGCACUUAUCACCAUGACCCACAUUUUUAAUCUCUGACCACCAUGCUUGUAUUUCCACAUCAGACCUGACAGAAUCGUCAUCAGUGUAGAAGAGUGAACAAAAAUCUGUGACCCAUGUCUUGAUGGCAGUCCAUAUCUCAAGUCCAUCUGCACCAUAAGGGUAGUCUUCUAAGAGUGGAUAAACCCCGGUGGGAUUAUCUGGAUCUUUUAGAGCCAGGCCUCUGCAAAUAUUGUGGCAUGAGGGAAUUAUUUUGGAAAAUGGAAGUAUAAAAAAGUUGUCUAUUAUUCCAGGAUUUGUCAGACUGUGUUGUAGAAAUUCAUAUUUAACCUUGAUCUUGUCAGAGUAAAUAUGACAUAUGAGUGAAAGACUGAUACUACUUUGAUUAUUUUAUACAUGUUUGUAACUAUAUCAUGCCUAUUCUAUUUUAUGUGUCAUGUAUACAUGCACAUAUUAUCUUAUUCACAUU